rnacentral:lncRNA from 1 species
GCGGCAGUCGGGACCGGGAGAAUCGGACAGAAACCAGCCUCAGAGUCCGGGGCAGGAGCCGUUGACGGCUGCCCCUCAACGCUGCGCUUCGGGUUGGGUUAAGUCCCCAAGGCGUCCUCAGACCACGGCGGGGCUUCAAACGCCCCAGUCCCGAAGACAGGCAGGGGGUCCCUCUGCUGCGCCGGGAUGACAGGCUGGCCCCGACGACCCCGGCCCCGUCCCGCAGCCCUCACCCGCUGAAGAGAUCGGGGAAACCGAAGAAGGUUCUAGAAAGUCUCCGUGGACGACGGGCGCUGGGCGGCCGCUUACCUUGGUGUACUUAAUUUCGAGAUUGGGCGUGGGCGACGGCAGGAGGUGCAGCGACGCCAUGAGGGCGGCGGGGUCGGCCUUCACCUCGCCGGGCAUCUCUAUCUUGCUGGAAGUCAUGGUGGCGGGCCGGGUGUCCCUAGCCCGCGGCGUGGGGCAGUGCGGGCUGUGCGCGCGGUCCGCGGCCCGGGGGCGCGCUCGCCUGUAUAUAGGUGUAAACCAAGAACCUAGAGACCCUGCCUCAGAAUGGGCUUUGGACUCCGUGGACUAAAUCAAGGCCGCAUGGAAAGACCUGCAUAAGUCCCUUCCCUUCCUUACUCCUCACUCCAAAUGGACCCCGGAGACUAUUUUAAACAUGGGAACUAGAUUUGCCUUUGUUGUAAGGCCCAGUUCCAUUUCGUAUAUGUUCGAGAAGCUUCAAUUUGGGUACUGGGAUGAGCGCAGUACUUCAUCAAUAAUCACACUUAACAGACAGGAAGAAAUUAAAAUUCCAGCUGCACCGCCUUUUCUGAAGGGCCUGAGGGAAAAGGCAUUGGCGCCCCCUGCAGUUGAUGGUGUGUAUGUGCAAAAAUGGGCCACUGAAAAGAUAACGAGGAACACUUUAGACGUCCUGACAACAGAGGAGGCAUGGCAGCCUCUUUUGUCUCAACCAAACGGUUUGCUGUGUGAAAGGCAUAGAGUAAAACUGGGAGGCAUUUAGGGCUGGAAUAGGUACCCAAUUUGGACAUCUACCACCAAAUGGCAAGGAGCGGUCUUGCUUCAGGCUGUAUAACCCCACUUUCAGAGCAUCUGUGUUUUCCUGACUGCAGUUCCUAAACCUGGAUUUUUUUUCUCUGUCAGUCAUCUAAGUUCAAUUGAACAAAUAUUCAUUGAGCAUAUACUAUGUGCCAAGCAUUGACAAAGAGUCUAUGAAGAACCCAACGGAAGUUUGUGGCACAUCCCUACCCUCAAAUUCACAGUGAGGGUGGAAUGACAGUAACCAAAUCUGUGAAAAUAUUCACAUGAGACAGGAAAGAAGUCAGAAUAUCCAGUGUACAAUGAGAGUGAAAGAGGAUGUCUAAAAGGGGACAGCCCAUUCACAACCCACACACAACCCACGCACAAAUAUUUUUGGGGGGGCCUCCCAUGGGCAUUUAUAAUCUUCUAAGUGCUCCGAAGAACAUGUGUCACAAAAGAUGAAGAGAAUAUUUUCCAGAACAUAGCCCAACAAAGAACUUCUUUGACAUUUUUUAGUGUAAAGGUAACUGACGGUAUCUACCAAAUUAGCAAUUUGUAAAACUGGAAUUUCUAAAAGCAAAUACUUGGAGCUGAGAUUACCUCCCACUUCCCAAAUUCGAGUUAUAUGAUCUCAAGUAUAAUACCCUUUGGUAUAGACCUAGCCAGAAGAGAUAAUAGAGGUGAAAACAAGGGCAGCUUAUUUUUUUUCCAUUAAAAGCAUUAUAUAUAACACU